UCGACCAUAUUAGGUUGAAACACCGGUUCACGUCUGAUCAUCAAAAUUAAGUAAUGUUGAGCCUAGUCAAUACUCAGAUGGGUGACCCCUUAGAAAUAUCAGACGCUGUAAG